GGAGCUGUAGCGCAGCGGUAGCGCGCUUCGUCCACAUCGAAGAGGUCAUAGGUUCGAAACCUAUCAGCUCCA
rnacentral:tRNA from 1 species